rnacentral:rRNA from 1 species
UACGUAGGGGGCGAGCGUUGUCCGGAGUACUGGGCGUAAAGCGCACGCAGGCGGUCUGCUAAGUUUGGAGUGACAGUUGGUGGCUUAACUGCCAAAGUGCUUCGAAAACUGACAGACUUGAGGGCUUCAGAGGGACACGGAAUUCCGGGUGGAGUGGUGAAAUGCGUAGAUAUCGUCUGGAACGCCGAAGGUGAAAACAGCUCGCUGGGGCUGACGCUGACGCUGAGACACGAAAGCCAGGGGAGCGAACGGG